rnacentral:misc_RNA from 1 species
CCGGCACCUACUAAACCCCUUCUCCUCCAUGGCGGACCUCCCCUGAGAUGUCGUUCGUCUCUCCCUACCCACCUCUGACGGCCGUUCUGCCGGCGCCCCCACCAGAUAUGUCGCCGCUGCCUUCAUGGCUGCCGACAGACCCCACUAUGGCUCUCUCUAGUACCUCCUCUCUGGGCGCGUGCACGGCGGCCGCCCUCGUCCCCGACCCGGUCGCCGCCUCUCCUGCUCGUGCCCUAGACGCAGGCGUCCUCCAUGCCCACGGCGCGUGUCCUGCUUGGCUGCUUCCCCGGACAACUCCCCAGAGCCAGGCUCCCAGCCGGACUGCGUCGCUCCCUGCGUCGUCGUCCCUGAGGAGUCCACCGAGC